UACGUAGGGUGCAAGCGUUGUCCGGAAUUAUUGGGCGUAAAGAGCUUGUAGGCGGUUUGUCGCGUCUGCUGUGAAAUUUCGGGGCUCAACCCCGAACUUGCAGUGGGUACGGGCAGACUAGAGUGUGGUAGGGGAGACUGGAAUUCCUGGUGUAGCGGUGAAAUGCGCAGAUAUCAGGGGGAACACCGAUGGCGAAGGCGGGUCUCUGGGACGGUACUGACGCUGAGACGCGAAAGCGUGGGGAGCGAACAGG
rnacentral:rRNA from 1 species